GUAAACCAGUAACAACAGACAUCAACAGCCAGUAACAUUGGCUCACCACCUCAUCAACAGCCAGUAACAUUGGCUCACCACCUCAUCAACAGCCAGAAACAUCGGCCACCAUCUCAUCAACAGCCAAACCAGAGAAGAGCUUGUCCUGAGCUAGCAUACUUAUUUUCUGCAAAGCUUGAAUGUAUGUUCCAAAGUAGAAUUCAUCAGCUUUAGCCUUGAUUUCUUGGAUCAGCACAUCAUCUCUCCAUACUCUUUCUACUGUAAAGUCACCCCUAGUAUCUGUAACCACAUCACACCAAG